CUGGUUGAUCCUGCCAGUAGCUAUAUGCUUGUCUCAAAGAUUAAGCCAUGCAAGUGUCAGUAUAAGCUGUACAACGGCGAGACUGCGAAUUGCUCAUUAACUCAGUUAUGAUUUACUCGACUAUGGACUAGGAACUACACGGAUAACCGUAGAAAAUCUGGGGCUAAUACGUGCUUAAUAACCGGCGCUUCGGUGCCGGGAGUACUUAUCUGAGAAACCGUAGUGACCGAGAGGUUGCCGGAAACCGAAACCCGAUGCCCCCCUCGGGGGGCCUGUGUUACCCAGGAUAAUUUAACGGACCGGUGUGCGGGGUGCGCGAGUGCGCGCCCCCACCGGCAAGUCGAUCAAAUUUCUGUUCUAUCAAUUCAUGAAGGUAGGGUAGUGGCCUACCUUGAUAAUGACGGAUACGGGGGAUCAGGGUUCGACACCGGAGAGGAGGCCUGAGAGACGGCCGCCACAUCCAAGGAAGGCAGCAUGCGCGGAAAUUACCCUAAUCUCAAUUCGAGGAGGUAGUGACAAGAAAUACCGACACGGGUCCCUUCGGGGACUUGUUACGUUGGAAUGAGGACAGCUCAAAACCCUUACCGAGUAGCUAUUAGAGGGCAAGUUGGGUGCCAGCAGCCGCGGUAACACCCACUCUAAAAGUGUAUGUUAGAGUUGUUGCAGUUAAAACGCUCGUAGUUGGAUUCAGGGCCGGCCGUGGUAGCCGCAGUGGACGGGUACGCCCGGACGCUCGGCAUCAACGCCGGAGCCGGCCCGGUUGUUACUUUGAACAAAACUUGGUGUUCAAGGCAUGUAUAUAACCGCAUGAAAGAUUUAGCAUGGGAUAACAGAAUGCCACUGUGUGUGAUUUUGUUGGGUUUUUGAUACAGUGUAAUGGUUAAAUAGGGACAGUCUCGGGGGCGUAAGUAUUGGGCAGGUAGAGGUGGAAUUCGAUGAUCUGCCCAGGACUAACUGAAGCGAAGGCGUUUCGUCAAGGAUGUUUUCGUUGAUCAAGAACGAAAGUUAGGGGAUCGAAGACGAUUAGACACCGUCGUAGUCCUAACCGUAAACUAUCUCGACUAGGGAUCCGUGCAGGUAGCUGCCUUCAGGCACGCUGAACUGCGUGGGGACCUUCAGAGAAAUCGUUAAGUGUUUGGAGUCUGGGGGGAAGUAUUAUCGCAAGGUUGAAACUUAAACGGAAUUGACGGAAGAGCACCACAAGAGAUGGAGCUUGUUGCUUAAUUUGACCCAACGCGGGGAAGCUUACCAGGACUGGACUCUGGAAGGAUUGACAGGCUAAUGGGCCUUUCAAGAUUCUUAGAAUGGUGGUGCAUGGCCGUUCUUAGUUGGUGAAGUGAUUUGUCUGUGUUAAUUCCGUUAACGAGCGAGACCUCCGCCCCUAACUACCGUUUCGGGCCGCCGGUUGCGACCGGUGCCCGACCGAGUCGAGCGCUCCGGCGCUGGGCUGCGGUUCUCAGGGGGACUGCUAGUGUUGAACUAGAGGAAGGUUGAGGCAAUAACAGGUCUGAGAUGCCCUUGGAUGUCCU
rnacentral:rRNA from 1 species